rnacentral:rRNA from 1 species
UAAUUACGAAAGCAAAAAAUUAUGGCGGUAUUUUAAGCUUCUCAGAGGAAUUUGCUCUUUAAUGGAUAAAACACCUAAAUCUUACUUAAAUUUGUUAAGUCAAUUUGUAUACCACUAUUAAAUUAAUUAAUAAUUUUAAUUUAUAAAAUUUAUAUAAAUUUAAAAAAAAUUAAGUCAAGGUGCAGUAAAAGUUUAAGAAUGAAGUGAAUUACAAUUCUUUUAAGAGAUUAUUUAAAUUAAAAUUUUAAUUUAGGAUU